CAGUCGAGGGGCAGCAUGGUCUUAGCUUGCUAAGGCCGAUGGCGACCGGCGCACGGGUGAGUAACACGUAUCCAACCUGCCGUCUACUCUUGGACAGCCUUCUGAAAGGAAGAUUAAUACAAGAUGGCAUCAUGAGUCCGCAUGUUCACAUGAUUAAAGGUAUUCCGGUAGACGAUGGGGAUGCGUUCCAUUAGAUAGUAGGCGGGGUAACGGCCCACCUAGUCUUCGAUGGAUAGGGGUUCUGAGAGGAAGGUCCCCCACAUUGGAACUGAGACACGGUCCAAACUCCUACGGGAGGCAGCAGUGAGGAAUAUUGGUCAAUGGGCGAGAGCCUGAACCAGCCAAGUAGCGUGAAGGAUGACUGCCCUAUGGGUUGUAAACUUCUUUUAUAAAGGAAUAAAGUCGGGUAUGGAUACCCGUUUGCAUGUACUUUAUGAAUAAGGAUCGGCUAACUCCGUGCCAGCAGCCGCGGUAAUACGGAGGAUCCGAGCGUUAUCCGGAUUUAUUGGGUUUAAAGGGAGCGUAGAUGGAUGUUUAAGUCAGUUGUGAAAGUUUGCGGCUCAACCGUAAAAUUGCAGUUGAUACUGGAUAUCUUGAGUGCAGUUGAGGCAGGCGGAAUUCGUGGUGUAGCG
rnacentral:rRNA from 1 species